CCUACGGGAGGCAGCAGUAGGGAAUCUUUCACAAUGGGCGAAAGCCUGAUGGAGCAACGCCGCGUGCAGGAUGAAGGCCUUCGGGUUGUAAACUGCUUUUAUAAGCGAGAAAUAUGAUGGUAACUUAUGAAUAAGGAUCGGCUAACUACGUGCCAGCAGCCGCGGUCAUACGUAGGAUCCGAGCAUUAUCCGGAGUGACUGGGUGUAAAGAGUUGCGUAGGUGGCAUAAUAAGUAGCUAGUGAAAUCUGGUGGCUCAACCAUUCAGACUAUUAGCUAAACUGUUAAGCUCGAGACCGUUAGGGGUAACUGGAAUUUCUAGUGUAGGAGUGAAAUCCGUAGAUAUUAGAAGGAACACCAAUAGCGUAGGCAGGUUGCUGGGACGGUUCUGACACUAAGACACGAAAGCGUAGGGAGCAAACGGGAUUAGAUACCCGAGUAGUC
rnacentral:rRNA from 1 species